AGGCCGUUUUUUCUCCCAUCGCCUGAAUAGUAUUUUUCUAGUCUAUUCUGAUGCGUGGAUUUGUUAUUUUUCCUCCAAGAUAUACAUAUGUAUCGUUAAAUAUAAUCUAGAAUGCUCAGCCUUGUAUGUUUCCUUUUUUACAUCUAUGGAAAAAAGACGAAAACAAGACUCAAGCGAACGUAUUACAAGGCGACACGGUUCAGGGAGAAAGCAAGGUUCAGGCUUCUCCUAAUUUAGAUGAACACGAUGUAAACUCUGAAGGUUGGACAAGAAGAGAACGGAAUCGACAGGGCGCUGCGUUCAGGAAACCAUGUUCAGACAGAUGCAGCCAGAUGGAGAUAGCACUUGGAAAUGCUGGGAAGAUUGGGCAGGAAGUUGUUUUUCAGCCAUUUAAAGGAAUGGAAUUCGACUCAGAGAAGGAUGCAUUCGAAUUUUUUAAUGCAUAUUCUUGAGAAAUUGGUUUUGGUAUCAAGCAUGGCAAUAAGUACAUCAACAAGCACGGAUUCAAGACAAAGCAGGACCUUUUGUGCUCAUGCGAGGGAACUCACAAAAAAUUCAACUCUAGGUCUAGCAGAACAAACUGCCCUGCUAUGGUUAGGUUGCUUCGCACCAACGACGACGGAUGGUACUAUGCAGAGGUGGUAUUAGAACACAACCACGAGUUGGCAGACAAUGUCGGUGAAAGAAAGUUAUGGAAGUGCCACAAGUACGUCGACGCAUCUAUGAAGGACAUUGUUAGGCACUUGCGU